rfam:Ictidomys tridecemlineatus contig006772, whole genome shotgun sequence.
UGGGAUGUAGCUCAGUGGUAGAGCACUUUACCUGGCAUGCAUAAGUCCCUGGGUUUGGUCCCCAGCAACACAC